rnacentral:rRNA from 1 species
AUUAGCUAGUUGGUGAGGUAAUGGCUCACCAAGGCGACGAUCCGUAACUGGUCUGAGAGGAUGAUCAGUCACACUGGAACUGAGACACGGUCCAGACUCCUACGGGAGGCAGCAGUGGGGAAUAUUGGACAAUGGGCGAAAGCCUGAUCCAGCCAUGCCGCGUGUGUGAAGAAGGUCUUCGGAUUGUAAAGCACUUUAAGUUGGGAGGAAGGGUAGUAACCUAAUACGUUGCUACUUUGACGUUACCGACAGAAUAAGCACCGG